rnacentral:rRNA from 1 species
CUUCUUUCCUCCCGAGUGCUUGCACUCAAUUGGAAAGAGGAGUGGCGGACGGGUGAGUAACACGUGGGUAACCUACCCAUCAGAGGGGGAUAACACUUGGAAACAGGUGCUAAUACCGCAUAACAGUUUAUGCCGCAUGGCAUAAGAGUGAAAGGCGCUUUCGGGUGUCRCUGAUGGAUGGACCCGCGGUGCAUUAGCUAGUUGGUGAGGUAACGGCUCACCAAGGCCACGAUGCAUAGCCGACCUGAGAGGGUGAUCGGCCACACUGGGACUGAGACACGGCCCAGACUCCUACGGGAGGCAGCAGUAGGGAAUCUUCGGCAAUGGACGAAAGUCUGACCGAGCAACGCCGCGUGAGUGAAGAAGGUUUUCGGAUCGUAAAACUCUGUUGUUAGAGAAGAACAAGGACGUUAGUAACUGAACGUCCCCUGACGGUAUCUAACCAGAAAGCCACGGCUAACUACGUGCCAGCAGCCGCGGUAAUACGUAGGUGGCAAGCGUUGUCCGGAUUUAUUGGGCGUAAAGCGAGCGCAGGCGGUUUCUUAAGUCUGAUGUGAAAGCCCCCGGCUCAACCGGGGAGGGUCAUUGGAAACUGGGAGACUUGAGUGCAGAAGAGGAGAGUGGAAUUCCAUGUGUAGCGGUGAAAUGCGUAGA